AGUAAAGUCAGCUAAUUAAGCUUUUGGGCUCAUGCCCCAAACAUGUGGAAUAAAAUACACCUUUACUA
rnacentral:tRNA from 1 species